GAAGGACAAAAAGCUCCUGCAGCAGGAUAUAUAAAGGGCAGGACGUCUAGCCUCUCCUGUUGAGUUUACUUCCUUCGUUCCAACUAUGCGGUUCUCCUUGACUCUGCUCUGCCUGUGUGUGGCGCUGGUGGCGGUGGCUCUGCCCGAGGCGGAGGCGAGGCCGCAGUUCUUCGACUUCGUGGAGGACGUCGGCGAAGGCAUCGGUGACUUCUUCGAGGGAGUUGGUGACUUCUUUUCAGGUUGAGUACCAAGUCUCGUCACCACCACCCCACCCCCACGACCAGCGCUCACUGACCUGCUCAAUCGUGAAAAUGUUGUUGUGGUCUUUGACUAAUUAAUACUAAUCCUAUUUUUUCGAUCUUCUGUGACGUCAUCCUAUCACCACGCCCCCUGUCGUCAUCGUUUCUUUUAAUGACGUCAUCACGUCAUUUUCUAAUAAAAAUAGGUGCUAUCUGUUCA